AUUUGUAGAAAACUACAAAUAAAAAGAUGUGGAAUGACUAUUCAUACAGCAGAAAAAGAACCUUACACUCACAACGAACUCUAAGAAACUGCGGUUUUUACUCUUAAGUGUUCUUAAAUCCUGGAAUGGAAUAUGGGUCUUACUGCAAGUAUCUAAAUCAUGAUACAUACUCAUCUAUUUGCAAUAGUUUUCUAAGCGGAUUUUUAAGUUCUAUUGUUUUAUGCAAAAGAUUAGAGAUCUAGAAUUUUAAAGUUUCUGUUUUUGGUCUUCCUUUUAAUUUCCACUGUGAAUUUAGCUAUGUUUUCAUUUAACACCCAUAUGUUGAAUUUUAUCUGUCCCUAACACAGAGAGUAUAUUAAUAUGUCCUCAGUGAGUGUGUGAGACUCAGCAAGAAGAAGACUUGCCAUGACCCCACAAAUCAGCCCAGACAGCCCCGGAGUCAGCUUGAGAGAGUAAGAGAGAGCGAAGAGAAUCUGAAGUCACAGAGAGCACCUUCCGAACAGGCCUGUUGAGACCACCAACCCAUCAACUGGGCCAGCGCAGAUAUCCGAUAAGCGACUUUUUGACGUCAAGAGGCUAAAACUCCUCCCUCAGAUCAUGCUAAUGCCGCCUUUUUGUGAACAUGCAUCCUAUGAAGAGCCAUGAAGUCUGACUACGCUUGCGCAGAUCAUCAAUUAUCUCACCUCUCCUCACCUCCAACCAUCUAUCUCCACAUUUCAGACCACUUUGCCCCCUAUCCCAUGUAUAUCCCUGAGUCCCUGUUUUCAGGGAAGUGGAUUUGAAACUCAUUCUCUUGUUUCCUCACUUCACUGCCUUGUGAUUAAAACUCUCUCUCUGCUUCAAUCUUGUUGGCUCAGUGUUUGGCUUUCUGGGUGACAGGCAAAAACGAACCUGGGUUCGGUAGCACCUGGAAGUUCCUUGUGCCAUUUCAAGCCAAUGCUCCCUUCCUUCCACCACCACAUACACGUCCAGAGACAACAGUUGUUCCAAUUUCUAUUGCUAUAGAUUCAUUUUACUACCCUCGAACUUUACAUAAAUGGAAUCGUGCAAUAUGUACUCUUCCAUGUCUGGCUUCACUUGUUCAGUAUAAUGUUUUGGAGAUUAAACUUAUUGUGUGUUAUUGGUGGUCCAUUUCUUUUCGCUGUUGAGUAGUAAUCUAUGUACAAAUAUGGCACAAUUUGUUUAUCCAGUCUUCUGUAGAUGGAAUUUGGAUUGUUUCCAGCUUGUUGCUUUUAUAAAUAAAGCCCUAUGAAUAUUUGUCUUUUUAUGGACAUAUGUUUUUGCUUCUCUUUUUUUUUAAGAUUGGCACCUGAGCUAACAAUUGUUGCCAAACUUUUUUUUUUUUUUCCUGCUUUAUCUCUCCAAAUCCCCCUGGGACAUAGUUGUAUAUCUUAGCUGCAGGUCUUUCUAGCUGUGGCAUGUGGGACGCCGCCUCAGCAUGGCUUGAUGAGUGGUGCCAUGCCCACGCCCAGGAUCUGAACCCACGAAACCCUGGGCUGCUGCAGCAGAGUGCAAGAGCUUAACCACUCGGCCACGGGGCCAGCCCCUGUGUUUCUCUUGAGUAAACACCUAAGAGUGAAUUUUUUUAAUGGGUCCAAUCUUACUACUUGUUUUUAUAAUGACUUAUAUUUACAUAAUCAUUUCUUAAAUAUUAUUUAUUGGCUUUUAAUUUUUAGAAUUAACCAAAGACAAAGCAAGUGAAAUAUAACUGUAAUUUCAGAAGAGAGAAAAGACUGGAGAAAAGAGCAUGGCAGGUAAAAAGAACAGUACAUGCAAAGCCCCUGAGGAAAAAAGCAUUUGACGUGUUUGAGGAUCUGAGUGAAGGCCAUGUGGCUGGAGCAUAAUGUGUGAAGGGAAUAGUGGUAGGAGAUGAAGCUGAUAUGUACAGCUGGGGUCAGAUUAUGCAGGGCCUGGUAGGCUGCAUUAAGCAUGCUAGAUUUUAUCCUAAACCCAUCCAAUGAAUGGUUUUAGGAAGCUGAGUAAUAUGGUCCAUUGUUCUCCAUGGAGGAGAUGGAAGUAUAAAGGAAGAAGCAGACAAAGCUUCAUUAGUAAAGCUUUGGAGAGAUGGGCGUGGCCUUUUGUAGGCUAGAGAUGGAGAAACACGUGCAUAUUUGAGAUAUAUUUUGGAAGUAGAAUUUGAGCUCAUGGCAUCAACCAAAUGAAUUUCUAAGUAAAAAAUAUGGGAAAAUUAUUUUUAUUUUUUUAAAUAUUGGCACCUGAGCUAACAUCUGUUGCCAAUCUCUCUUUCUUCUUCUCCUUCUUCUUCUUCUCCUCCUCCUUCUUCUUUUCCUUCUCCUUCCCCUCCUCCUCCUCCUCCUUCCUCUUCUCCCCAAAUCACCCCCAGUACAUAGUUGUGUAGUCUAGUUGUAGGUCCUUUUAGCUGUGCAGCAAAAUUUUAAGUAAGUGUCCAGGCACUAUUUUUGAAAUCUUAAAUUUAUCAUCUUUUUGGCGUGGGCUGAUUUUCUAUAAAUCAUUAAAAGAUAUUGCCAGGACAGCUAAAAGAAAUGAGACAAAGGAGAAAAGGCGAGCAAAAAAGCAAAGAAUGGGAUAGAAAAAGAGAUUACCUAUUUAAUUUCAAGUAUUAAGGAGCCAGUCCUAAAAACAGAGAAGUGGGGUAUCAACAAAUGAUGCCUUAUUGCAGCCCAUCUCACUAAGCUUUUCGAGAAGGAUGGGCACAGAGACCUGUUUCUUCUCUUGGUUUCAUAUCUGCCUCUUUGAUGAAAUAGGGAAACACUCAAGCCCUUUACUACACACUGGUGCAGAAACGCUGCUGUCCCCAAAAUACGUUUUGUAACACGAACAUAUGCUUCUGAAAUCACUUUAAAACGCAUUUUAUUUCAGUGAAAUAAGUCAGACACAGGAAGACAAAUACUGUAUGAUAUCACUUAUAUAUGGAAUCUAAAAAAGCUGAACUCAAAGAAACACACUAGAAUGGUGAUUACCAGGGGCUGAGGGGUGGGGAAAAGAGCAGAUGUUGGUCAAAGGGUACAAACUUCUAGUUGUAAGAUGAGUAAGUUCUGAGGAUCACAUUUACAGUGUGGUGGGCCGGCCCCGUGGCUGAGUGGUUAAGUUUGCGCGCUCUGCUUCAGCGGCCCAGGGUUCAGAUCCUGGGCAUGGACAUGGCACUGC
rnacentral:lncRNA from 1 species